AUAGUUACAAGCAGUUAAUGACGGCAAAUCCAUAGCACACGAAAAGAACUUAUGAGAGCUCAUACACCUAGUAAUACGUGUUGUGAAGGUGAUGUUGUACGUGUUGUAUUGUUGAGCAGUAAGUUAUGUUACAUAAUGAAUCGUAGAAGUUUUUAUUUCAGCAACCACAAAAAGACACAAUGAAGUAUACGGUGUUGAUGGUGCUUCUUCUAAUUAUAAUAACAGAUAUUGUGUGUUCUCAACAAUUUUGUAUUUGUAUUGCGAUUUUUGAUCCAGUGUGUUCCACAUUUGGUGUGACUUUCAGUAAUCAAUGUCGAUUGGAAUGUGCUGGUCAAUUUCUUGCCUGCCGUGGGGAAUGCCCAUGUAUGUUUUAACAUCUAUGAGACAAAGCAUGUUCAGCUCCAAGUGAUACUGGAACAUAUCUGAAAUCUAUCAAAAACAAUAAAUAAAAUCAGUUAACAUUAUAUAGCUUUCCCAAGACAA